rnacentral:lncRNA from 10 species
AGGCAGAGAAGAGAGAGAGUGUGUGUUCUGGCUAGAGGGAGGAGCAUGUGCCAGUUAGAAAGGAGCCUGGAGCUAGAGAUGAACUCUGGGAGAGUUUGAAGAGAACCCUGCCAUUGCUACCAUUGGCACAAGCUCAGACUAGCCUGACGGAGGAUCUGGUAUCAUGCAGAGAACAGCCGGUCUCAGCUGAAGCAGUACUAGGCCAGGCUACCACCAGCCAACUCCUAAACUAACCAGCAGAGCUGCCAAAUGACUACAGAAACAUGAAUGAUGCAUCUGCAACUAUCUGGGAUCAGCAAAACUAUCCAACUAAUUCAUUAGCAAUAAUAAAUGCUUAUUAUAUUAAGCCACAGAUCUGGGGGCUAUUUGUUACACAUCAUUGCUAACUGAUCUAGCAAAAUGCAUGCAGAAGGCCAGCUUGUUUUGACUUUUUGUUGGGUAGCAUAAGAACCACCUUCUGAUUUGAGACAGACAAGAAGCUAAGAUAAUGAGCACCUUGAUGAAUCAAAGAGCAGGUAAGAGACAGCUCCUGCUGUCAUUCCUGAACUGUGAGCGACAUGAGCACCUUCACUCAGGAGAUUUAAGACCAGAAGCUUGUAGAACCAUGAUCCUGGCCUGAUGAAGGCUGAACGGUAUCAAGAGGCCAGCACUGCCAUAGAGAAAACUGAGCUGACACAGUCUUCCUGCCUUAGACCUUGCCUGCCUGUAGACAGUGACUAUGUCUUACUCUCCUCUCUUCUCCCAGCACCUGUAGAGGUGCUUGGCACAUAAGAGAUGCUCAGCAAAUGUGUGUUGACCACCUGCAUCCAUACUGUACCUUCUCUUUGGAGAAGCUGAGGGGACAGGAAAGAUAGAAGCAUCAUCAUGGACCAAAUCUCCUCUCGGUCCUUCCUGGUGAGAAGGCUCCUCCUGCAGUGCUUCAGUGUCACCUUGACUAUCUGGAGAAGCAAACAAAGGAAGAAAAUCCUGUGAAAUUGACAUGUGGUGGCAAUCGAGCCUCUACCUUAUGCCAGCCCUGUGGCAGGCACCAUAAGUGGUACAAAGAGACUAGAAGACAGACUCUGCCAGCAUAAAACUUAACAUCUUAUUGGCAGAAAUGCCAGAUACAUCCUUCAUUUUUCUAAAACUUAUGUAUCUUCUGUUUCCAAAAAAGAACAGAUUUAUGUGGAUGGGACUGUGAAAAGAAAAAUCGGAUUGUGAAUCUAAAGUGUAAACUAAAAAUAAAAUCCUAAGCAACCCCCUCCCCCACCCAAGGGGACCCCAGAAAAAUCUUAAAAACUGAGUUUCUGGCUGGGCACGGUGGCUCACACCUGUAAUCCGAGCACUUUGGGAAGCUGAGGCAAGUGGAUCACCUGAGGACAGGAGUUUGAGACCAGCCUGGCCAACAUGGUGAAACCCCCUCUCUACUAAAAAUACAAAAAUUAGCCGGGCAUGGUGGCAGACACCUGUAAUUCCAGCUACUUGGGAGGCUAAGGCAGGAGCAACGCUUGAACCCAGCGGGACAGAUGUUGCAGCUAAGCUGAGAUCGCGCCACUUCACUCUAGCCUGGGCAAAAGAGUGAAACUCCAUCUCAAAAAUCAAAAAAUAAAAAACAGAAAUAAAACCCUAGGUUUUUGUCAAUGAUGAGACAGGAGGUCAGGCAUACCUCAUUAUACUUCCUUUUUGUGGUUUAGACACAACAACUGACCAGCAUUAAAAUAGAGAUCAUAAGACUGACAGAAUGGACCCUGUGGCAAUAAGAUACCAAAUUACAAACAGGACCUAAAGUCAUGACAGGCAAAGCUUAAGUCAUGCACUCCUAUACUUAAAAAUAAAACUGUGUUCUAACUGCCACAGGUUUUUCUUUUUCUCUAGCAGCUGCACAAGCACCAGCCUCAAGAUAAGCAAUAAACGAUUUACUGCUUGCCCACCACUGACAGACACUGAAUAACUGACUCCCAGCCCCUGUUCUACAAGCUAUAACUACAGCUUUAAUUAGACAAGAGACUGACUUCAGUGACUUUCUCCUGAUAAAAAGACCACAGACAGGCUGGGCACAGUGGUUCAUGCCUGUAAUCCCAGCACUUUGGAAGGCUGAGGCAGGCAGAUCAUGAGGUCAAGAUAUCGAGACCAUCCUGGCUAACGUGGUGAAACCCCAUCUCUACUAAAAAUACAAAAAGUUAGCUGGGCGUGGUGGUGGGCACCUGUAGUCCCAGCUGCUCGGGAGGCUGAGGCAGAAGAAUCGCUUGAACCCAGUAGGUGGAGAUUGCAGUGAGCCGACAUUGUGCCACUGCCCUCCAGCCUAGGGAGACAGAGCGAGACUCCAAGACUCCAUCUCAAAAAAAAAAAAAAAAAAGAAAACAAACAAACAAAAAACACAGACCAUAGACUCGUUCUGGCUGUUUAAAGAGUCUGCACACUUGAGUGCUUUUGUUUCUUAAAAAGAUCUUUUUACAUAUAGGGCCUAAUUCUAAUACAUUUAAAAAUCAAGUCUCCACCCCAAGGUAAAUUUGGGUCAUAUAUAACAUGCACGUGUGUUCAGUACACAUGCAUCAAGACCACCUUCUUGAAUAUUCAUAGCUCCUCCUGUAACCUGUAAUUACAUAUAUCUGGCUAACCAUUUCAGUUUGAAUUCCUGUCUUACUCUUCCCUUUCUGGAAGUGUCUGUCUCUGCGCUCUGUGGGAGGCUAUGCUUCCCAGACCAUCAAAAUGGGCACCUGGCAGGCUGUAACCCUUCAUAAAAAAUAAAGUCUAC